rnacentral:misc_RNA from 1 species
GAUGAAGAACGCAGCGAAAUGCGAUAAGUAAUGUGAAUUGCAGAAUUCAGUGAAUCAUCGAAUCUUUGAACGCACAUUGCGCCCCUUGGUAUUCCGAGGGGCAUGCCUGUUCGAGCGUCAUUAUAACCCCUCAAGCUCAGCUUGGUGUUGGGGCCUGCUGCACUGGCAGCCCUUAAAAUCAGUGGCGGCGCCAUCUGGCUCUAAGCGUAGUAAUUCUUCUCGCUAUGGAGUCCUGGUGGAUGCUUGCCAUCAACCCCCAAUUUUUCUAUGGUUGACCUCGGAUCAGGUAGGGAUACCCGCUGAACUUAAGCAUAGCAAUAAGCGGAGGA